AGUGAACGCUGGCGGUAGGCCUAACACAUGCAAGUCGAACGGCAGCACAGUAAGAGCUUGCUCUUACGGGUGGCGAGUGGCGGACGGGUGAGGAAUACAUCGGAAUCUACUUUUUCGUGGGGGAUAGCGUAGGGAAACCUACGCUAAUACCGCAUACGACCUACGGGUGAAAGCAGGGGAUCUUCGGACCUUGCGCGAUUGAAUGAGCCGAUGUCGGAUUAGCUAGUUGGCGGGGUAAAGGCCCACCAAGGCGACGAUCCGUAGCUGGUCUGAGAGGAUGAUCAGCCACACUGGAACUGAGACACGGUCCAGACUCCUACGGGUGGCAGCAGUGGGGAAUAUUGGACAAUGGGCGCAAGCCUGAUCCAGCCAUACCGCGUGGGUGAAGAAGGCCUUCGGGUUGUAAAGCCCUUUUGUUGGGAAAGAAAAGCAGCAGGUUAAUACCCCGCUGUUCUGACGGUACCCAAAGAAUAAGCACCGGCUAACUUCGUG
rnacentral:rRNA from 1 species